GACGAACGCUGGCGGCGUGCUUAACACAUGCAAGUCGAACGGAAAGGCCCUGCUUUUGUGGGGUGCUCGAGUGGCGAACGGGUGAGUAACACGUGAGUAACCUGCCCUUGACUUUGGGAUAACUUCAGGAAACUGGGGCUAAUACCGGAUAGGAGCUCCUGCUGCAUGGUGGGGGUUGGAAAGUUUCGGCGGUUGGGGAUGGACUCGCGGCUUAUCAGCUUGUUGGUGGGGUAGUGGCUUACCAAGGCUUUGACGGGUAGCCGGCCUGAGAGGGUGACCGGCCACCUUGGGACUGAGAUACGGCCCAGUCUCCUACGGGAGGCAGCAGUGGGGAAUAUUGCACAAUGGGCGGAAGCCUGAUGCAGCAACGCCGCGUGCGGGAUGACGGCCUUCGGGUUGUAAACCGCUUUCGCCUGUGACGAAGCGUGAGUGACGGUAAUGGGUAAAGAAGCACCGGCUAACUACGUG
rnacentral:rRNA from 1 species